UUUUCCAGGCAAAUCCGGAAAACCAAGGCUGAGGCGUGAUGACGAGGCACUACGGUGCUGAAGCGACAAAUGCCCUGCUUCCAGGAAAAGCCUCUAAGCAUCAGGUAACAUCAAAUCGUACCCCAAACCGACACAGGUGGUCAGGUAGAGAAUACCAAGGCGCUUGAGAGAACUCGGGUGAAGGAACUAGGCAAAAUGGUGCCGUAACUUCGGGAGAAGG
rnacentral:rRNA from 1 species